CCCUUAGAUGUUCUGGGCCACACGCGCGCUACACUGACGAUGGCAACGAGUUUUUCCUUCGCCGAAAGGUGUGGGUAAUCUUUUGAAACAUCGUCGUGCUGGGGAUAGAUCAUUGCAAUUUUUGAUCUUGAACGAGGAAUUCCUAGUAAGCGCGAGUCAUCAGCUCGCGUUGAUUACGUCCCUGCCCUUUGUACACACCGCCCGUCGCUACUACCGAUUGAAUGGUUUAGUGAGGACUCCUGAUUGGCGCCGCCGCCCCGGCAACGGAGCAGCGGACUGCCGAAAAGUUGUUCAAACUUGAUCAUUUAGAGGAAGUAAAAGUCGUAACA
rnacentral:rRNA from 1 species